AUUGAACGCUGGCGGCAGGCCUAACACAUGCAAGUCGAACGAGUGGCGGACGGGUUAGUAAUGUCUGGGCAACUGCCCGAUGGAGGGGGAUAACUACUGGAAACGGUAGCUAAUACCGCCUACCCUCGGCUGUGCCCAAAUGGGAUUAGCUAGUAGGUGGGGUAACGGCUCACCUAGGCGACGAUCCCUAGCUGGUCUGAGAGGAUGACCAGCCACACUGGAACUGAGACACGGUCCAGACUCCUACGGGAGGCAGCAGUGGGGAAUAUUGCACAAUGGGCGCAAGCCUGAUGCAGCCAUGCCGCGUGUAUGAAGAAGGCCUUCGGGUUGUAAAGUACUUUCAGCGAGGAGGCGUUACUCGCAGAAGAAGCACCGGCUAACUCCGUGCCAGCAGCCGCGGUAAUUC
rnacentral:rRNA from 1 species